rnacentral:rRNA from 1 species
GUUUUCGGAUCGUAAAGCUCUGUUGUUAAGGAAGAACGAGUGUGAGAAUGGAAAGUUCAUACUGUGACGGUACUUAACCAGAAAGGGACGGCUAACUACGUGCCAGCAGCCGCGGUAAUACGUAGGUCCCGAGCGUUGUCCGGAUUUAUUGGGCGUAAAGCGAGCGCAGGCGGUUAGAUAAGUCUGAAGUUAAAGGCAGUGGCUCAACCAUUGUAGGCUUUGGAAACUGUUUAACUUGAGUGCAGAAGGGGAGAGUGGAAUUCCAUGUGUAGCGGUGAAAUGCGUAGAUAUAUGGAGGAACACCGGUGGCGAAAGCGGCUCUCUGGUCUGUAACUGACGCUGAGGCUCGAAAGCGUGGGGAGCGAACAGGAUUAGAUACCCUGGUAGUCCACGCCGUAAACGAUGAGUGCUAGGUGUUAGGUCCUUUCCGGGACUUAGUGCCGCAGCUAACGCAUUAAGCACUCCGCCUGGGGAGUACGACCGCAAGGUUGAAACUCAAAGGAAUUGACGGGGGCCCGCACAAG